rnacentral:rRNA from 1 species
GAAUAUUGCACAAUGGGCGCAAGCCUGAUGCAGCAACGCCGCGUGCCCGAGGACGGCCUUCGGGUUGUAAAGGGCUUUUCUGGCUGACGAGGAAGGACGGUAGGCCAGGAAUAAGCGUCGGCUAACUACGUGCCAGCAGCCGCGGUAAAACGUAGGACGCGAGCGUUAUCCGGAUUUAUUGGGUUUAAAGGGUGCGUAGGCGGCCUAUUAAGUCAGGGGUGAAAGACGGUGGCUCAACCAUCGCAGUGCCUUUGAUACUGAUGGGCUUGAAUGCAGCUGAGGUAGGCGGAAUGUGACAAGUAGCGGUGAAAUGCAUAGAUAUGUCACAGAACACCGAUUGCGAAGGCAGCUUACUAAAGUGCGAUUGACGCUGAGGCACGAAAGCGUGGGGAUCAAA